rnacentral:rRNA from 1 species
AAACUUAAAGGAAUUGACGGGGACCCGCACAAGCGGUGGAUGAUGUGGAUUAAUUCGAUGCAACGCGAAGAACCUUACCUACCCUUGACAUGUCCGGAACUUGCCAGAGAUGGCUUGGUGCCCGAAAGGGAAUCGGAACACAGGUGCUGCAUGGCUGUCGUCAGCUCGUGUCGUGAGAUGUUGGGUUAAGUCCCGCAACGAGCGCAACCCUUAUCAUUAGUUGCUACGCAAGGGCACUCUAAUGAGACUGCCGGUGACAAACCGGAGGAAGGUGGGGAUGACGUCAAGUCCUCAUGGCCCUUAUGGGUAGGGCUUCACACGUCAUACAAUGGCUGGUACAAAGGGUUGCCAACCCGCGAGGGGGGAGCCAAUCCCAUAAAGCCAGUCGUAGUCCGGAUCGUAGUCUGCAACUCGACUACGUGAAGUCGGAAUCGCUAGUAAUCGUGGAUCAGAAUGUCACGGUGAAUACGUUCCCGGGUCUU